rnacentral:rRNA from 1 species
AUCCUGAGUAAGGCGGGACCGGAGGAAUCCUGUCUGAAACAGCCGGCACCAUCCGGCAAGGCUAAAUACUACUAAGAGACCGAUAGUGGAAUAGUACUGUGAAGGAAAGGUGAAAAGAACCGUGAAUAACGGAGUGCAAUAGAACCUGAAACUGUGUACUUACAAGCGGUCGGAGCCACGAUAAGUGGUGACGGCGUGCCUUUUGCAUAAUGAGCCUACGAGUUAAUAAUUUUAGCGAGGUUAAGAUUUAAGAGGAUUGUAGCCGCAGCGAAAGCGAGUCUUAAUAGGGCGAUAAGUUAGAGUUAUUAGACGCGAAACUUAGUGAUCUACCCUUGGGCAGGAUGAAGUUCUGGUAACACAGAUUGGAGGUCCGAACCGGUAGCUGUUGAAAAAGCUUCGGAUGACCUGAGGGUAGGGGUGAAAGGCUAAUCAAACUGAGAGAUAGCUCGUACUCCCCGAAAAGCUUUUAGGAGCUGCCUUGAUAAUAGUUUACAGAGGUAGAGCUACUGAUAGGAUGCGGGGGCUUCACCGCCUACCAAUUCCUGACAAACUCCGAAUGCUGUAAAGUUAAGAUAUCAGGAGAAAGGCUGUGGGUGCUAAUGUCCACGGCCGAGAGGGCAAUAACCCGGACCAUCGGCUAAGGUCCCGGAAUGUAUGCUAAGUUGAAGUAACGCGGUAGGAUAGCAGAGACAGCUAGGAUGUUGGCUUGGAAGCAGCCAUUCAUUUAAAGAGUGCGUAACAGCUCACUAGUCGAGCCGUCCUGCAUGGAUAAUAAACGGGCAUAAGCAUACUACCGAAGCCAUGGAAUGAUAUGGCGACAUAUUGUUGGUAGGGGAGCAUUCUGUGAGAGAGGAAGCAGAGUCGUGAGGCUUUGUGGAUUGAACAGAAAAGCAAAUGUAGGCAUAAGUAACGAUAAUGAGAGUGAGAAACUCUCACACCGGAAGACCAAGGUUUCCUGAUCAACGAUAAUCGGAUCAGGGUAAGUCCGGACCUAAGGCGGAGCCGACAGGCGCAGUCGAUGGACAAUCGGUUAAUAUUCCGAUACCGGCUUAUAUGGCGAAGGAAUGACAAAGGAGCGGAAAGCAGGCGUGCUGACGGAAUAGCACGUUGAAUACGAAAGGUAGUGAAUUGUAGGCAAAUCCGCAAUUCAGCUGAACGUAGACAGUACAGAGAGCCGUAAGGUGAUUUGACACAUGCCGGAAGCCGACUUUCGAGAAAACUUUCUAAGCAUACAUAUAAGCCGCCGGUACCGUAAACCGACACAGGUGGUCGAGGAGAGAAUCCAAAGGUGCUCGAGUGAACCGUGGCUAAGGAACUAGGCAAAUUAGUCCUGUAACUUAGGGAAAAAGGACCCCUACGGGAGUAGGGCGCAGAGAAAUGGUCCAGGCGACUGUUUAACAAAAACACAUGGCUUUGCGAAAUUGUAAGAUGAAGUAUAAGGCCUGACACCUGCCCGGUGCCGGAAGGUUAAGAGGAGAUGUCAUCGCAAGAGAAGCAUUGAAUUGAAGCCCCGGUAAACGGCGGCCGUAACUAUAACGGUCCUAAGGUAGCGAAAUUCCUUGUCGGGUAAGUUCCGACCUGCACGAAUGGUGUAACGAUCUGGACACUGUCUCAGCCACGAGCUCGGUGAAAUUGUAGUAGCGGUGAAGAUGCCGCUUACCCUCAACGGGACGGAAAGACCCCGUGAACCUUCACUACAACUUAACAUUGGUUUUGGAUAUGCGAUGUGUAGGAUAGGUGGGAGACUGCGAAGCAGGUUCGUCAGAAUUUGUGGAGUCGCUGUUGAAAUACCACCCUUUGCCUAUUCGGGAUCUAACUUUAGGAAAUAGAGGACAUUGUUUGGUGGGUAGUUUGACUGGGGUGGUCGCCUCCAAAAGCGUAACGGAGGCUUUCAAAGGUACCCUCAGAUUGGUUGGCAACCAAUCGCUGAGAGCAAUAUCAUAAGGGUGCUUGACUGUGAGACCUACAAGUCGAACAGGUAGGAAACUAGGAUAUAGUGAUCCGGUGGUUCCGCAUGGAAGGGCCAUCGCUCAAAGGAUAAAAGGUACUCCGGGGAUAACAGGCUGAUCACCCCCAAGAGCUCACAUCGACGGGGUGGUUUGGCACCUCGAUGUCGGCUCGUCACAUCCCGGGGCUGGAGAAGGUCCCAAGGGUUAGGCUGUUCGCCUAUUAAAGUGGCACGCGAGCUGGGUUCAGAACGUCGCGAGACAGUUCGGUCCCUAUCUGUUGAGGGCGUUGGAAAUUUGAGGGGCUCUGACUCUAGUACGAGAGGACCGAGUUGGACAAACCACUAGUGUACCGGUUGUAGCGCCAGCGGCACCGCCGGGUAGCUAAGUUUGGCAGGGAUAAGUGCUGAAAGCAUCUAAGUACGAAACCCACCUCGAGAUGAGAUUUCCUAAUAGGGUAGUUGAAGAACACGACUUAGAUAGGUUGCAGGUGUAAAGGCAGUAAUGUCAAAGCCGAGCAAUACUAAUCACCCGAACUCUUCCGUUA